rnacentral:rRNA from 1 species
GGGAAAGAGCUUGCUCUUUCCGGAAUUGAGUGCCAAACGGGUGAGUAACACGUAAACAACCUGCCUUCAGGAUGGGGACAACAGACGGAAACGACUGCUAAUACCGAAUAAGUUCCAAGAGCCGCAUGGCCCAUGGAAGAAAAGGUGGCCUCUACCUGUAAGCUAUCGCCUGAAGAGGGGUUUGCGUCUGAUUAGCUGGUUGGAGGGGUAACGGCCCACCAAGGCGACGAUCAGUAGCCGGUCUGAGAGGAUGAACGGCCACACUGGAACUGAGACACGGUCCAGACUCCUACGGGAGGCAGCAGUGGGGAAUCUUCCGCAAUGGGCGAAAGCCUGACGGAGCAACGCCGCGUGAGUGAUGACGGCCUUCGGGUUGUAAAACUCUGUGAUCCGGGACGAAAAGGCAGAGUGCGAAGAACAAACUGCAUUGACGGUACCGGAAAAGCAAGCCACGGCUAACUACGUGCCAGCAGCCGCGGUAAUACGUAGGUGGCAAGCGUUGUCCGGAAUUAUUGGGCGUAAAGCGCGCGCAGGCGGCUUCCCAAGUCCCUCUUAAAAGUGCGGGGCUUAACCCCGUGAUGGGAAGGAAACUGGGAAGCUGGAGUAUCGGAGAGGAAAGUGGAAUUCCUAGUGUAGCGGUGAAAUGCGUAGAGAUUAGGAAGAACACCGGUGGCGAAGGCGACUUUCUGGACGAAAACUGACGCUGAGGCGCGAAAGCGUGGGGAGCAAACAGGAUUAGAUACCCUGGUAGUCCACGCCGUANACGAUGGAUACUAGGUGUAGGAGGUAUCNACCCCUC